rnacentral:rRNA from 1 species
GUGAGGAAUAUUGGUCAAUGGGCGGAAGCCUGAACCAGCCAAGUCGCGUGAAGGAAGAAGGAUCUAUGGUUUGUAAACUUCUUCUGAAGGGGGAUAAAGUGCGUCACGAGUGGUGCAUUGCAGGUACCCUUGGAAUAAGCAUCGGCUAACUCCGUGCCAGCAGCCGCGGUAAUACGGAGGAUGCGAGCGUUAUCCGGAUUUAUUGGGUUUAAAGGGUGCGUAGGUGGCUUUUUAAGUCAGCGGUGAAAACUGGCGGCUCAACCGCAAGAGUGCCGUUGAAACUGGGGAGCUAGAGUAUGAACGAGGUAGGCGGAAUGUGUGGUGUAGCGGUGAAAUGCAUAGAUAUCACGCAGAACUCCGAUAGCGAAGGCAGCUUACCAGGCCAUAACAGACACUGAAGCACGAAAGCGUGGGGAUCGAACAGGAUUAGAUACCCUUGUAGUCC